rnacentral:rRNA from 1 species
UUGGAGGGCAAGUCUGGUGCCAGCAGCCGCGGUAAUUCCAGCUCCAAUAGCGUAUAUUAAAGUUGUUGCAGUUAAAAAGCUCGUAGUUGAAUUUCGGGGUUCUACCGUUGGUCGGGCUUUGUCUGUACUGGUGUGUAGAAUUUCUACCUUCUGGGAAACCAUCAUGCUAUUAAUUUAGCGUGGUGGGAAACCAGGACCUUUACCUUGAAAAAAUUAGUGUGUUCAAAGCAGGCUUAUGUCUGAAUACAUUAGCGUGGAAUAAUAGAAUAGGACGGUGGUCCUGUUUUGUUGGUUUCUGAAUCACCGUAAUGAUUAAUAGGGAUAGUUGGGGGCAUUAGUAUUCAAUUGUCAGAGGUGAAAUUCUUGGAUUUAUUGAAGACUAACUUCUGCGAAAGCAUUUGCCAAGGAUGUUUUCAUUAAUCAAGAACGAAAGUUAGGGGAUCGAAGACGAUCAGAUACCGUCGUAGUCUUAACCAUAAACUAUGCCGACUAGGGAUCGGACGAUGUUAAUUUUUCUUGACUCGUUCGGCGCCUUACGGGAAAC